CGCGUAGGCGGGAAUGCAAGUCAGAUGUGAAAUCCAAGGGCUCAACCCUUGAACUGCAUUUGAAACUGUAUUUCUUGAGUGUCGGAGAGGUUGACGGAAUUCCUAGUGUAGCGGCGAAAUGCGUAGAUAUUAGGAGGAACACCAGUGGCGAAGGCGGUCAACUGGACGAUAACUGACGCUGAGGCGCGAAAGCGUGGGAGCAAACA
rnacentral:rRNA from 1 species